CGCGUCCUAUCAGCUUGAUGGCGGGGUAACGGCCCACCAUGGCUUCGACGGGUAGCCGGCCUGAGAGGGCGACCGGCCACAUUGGGACUGAGAUACGGCCCAGACUCCUACGGGAGGCAGCAGUGGGGAAUAUUGCACAAUGGGCGCAAGCCUGAUGCAGCGACGCCGCGUGAGGGAUGGAGGCCUUCGGGUUGUAAACCUCUUUUGUUAGGGAGCAAGGCACUUUGUGUUGAGUGUACCUUUCGAAUAAGCACCGGCUAACUACGUGCCAGCAGCCGCGGUAAUACGUAGGGUGCAAGCGUUAUCCGGAAUUAUUGGGCGUAAAGGGCUCGUAGGCGGUUCGUCGCGUCCGGUGUGAAAGUCCAUCGCUUAACGGUGGAUCCGCGCCGGGUACGGGCGGGCUUGAGUGCGGUAGGGGAGACUGGAAUUCCCGGUGUAACGGUG
rnacentral:rRNA from 1 species